UGAGGAAUAUUGGUCAAUGGGCGCGAGCCUGAACCAGCCAAGUCGCGUGAGGGAAGACGGUCCUAUGGAUUGUAAACCUCUUUUGUCGGGGAGCAAAAGAAGUCACGUGUGACUAAAAGUGAGAGUACCCGAAGAAAAAGCAUCGGCUAACUCCGUGCC
rnacentral:rRNA from 1 species